GAAAAUUACAAGCACGAGCUUAAAACUCAAAGAACUUGGCGGCACUUUAAACCCACCUAGAGGAGCCUGUCCUGUAACCGACACCCCCCGUUAAACCUCACCUCUCUUAGCCUUCAGUCUAUAUACCGCCGCCGUCAGCUCACCCUAUAAAGGCUCACUAGUAAGCAAAAAUGGUUUAGCCCUAAACGUCAGGUCGAGGUAUAACUUAUGGGGAGGGAAGAGAUGGGCUACACUUCCAACCCCGGGUAUUUACAAAUUUAUACUGAAAAUAAACAUGAAGAAGGAUUUAGCAGUAAAUAAUAAAUAGAGCAUUUUACUGAAACCGGCACUAAAGUCGCACAUACCGCCCGUCGCUCUCUCCUAGUAACUAAAUAUCACUACAUUAAAAACUUCAAUUCCACAAAGGGGAGACAAGUCGUAACAUGGUAGGUGUACUGGAAAGUGCACCUGGCUAAAU
rnacentral:rRNA from 1 species